AAGACGCUGUAGACCGUGACGUCAUAUCACGACCGUUACAGCAUCCGAAAAAAAAUCUCACGUUCAAAGUCUAGUGUGACCGCGGCUUUAGCUGUUAUGUUUCUUUGUAACUCAUUGUAAGUCAAGCGCAAGCGCACAACCCAUGUUGACCGAUCACUGAUGCUACUUUCAGGUUUUUUUUCCAGUUCCACUGCUCACUUCUCGAAUCUUCGAAUUGUGAGAUUAAUUUUGAGAUCAAAAGUCGCAAUUACCUUUUUUAUUUUAUUUUGUGACGGAAACAAGCUUCCAAUGGCAUCAAGACAUGUAGGCCUACUCAAAAUUUCCAGCAUGUGAGACAAUUUUGUGGCAAGUUUUCAGCAUACAGAGAGAUCUCAGGCAGUCAGGAACAGUUCUGCGCUGUUAUUUCAUCAAGGCAAAAUCCAAAACAACUAGCAAAGCCUGCAGUGACUCCACUGCUGUCCUGAAGACAGGAUGCCUAAAAUCUGAUGCAUCAUGUCUUGACUAGAUCGAAGACAUAGCUAGAUGGCACCCACAGGCGGUAAACUCCGGUUUAGAGGCACUUCUCAGCACACGUUAGGAGUUUAUCAAAAUGGUUAGAUGCAUUAAAAAGCUUCUUUAAAAUGAUACAUAUUUUGUGUUAUUCCAAGUUGGAAAACGAACAUGGAUGCAGGGCUCCAGACAAAAAAAUUAAUUAAAGAGCCAUUGGCUCCUAUAGGGGGAAAAACAGGCGCCAAAUAAUUUUUUUAAGAGCCACACAGCAAUGAACUUAAAAUUUUAAAUCACUUACUUUUAGUCACUUACUUCACUUUACAGUUUCACCAUUUUCAUCUUGAAUGUCACUAUUUCCACUUAAUACUAUUAUAGUUUUUGUUAAUAUUUUG